rnacentral:rRNA from 1 species
ACUUCUAGUCGUGAGGAAGGUAGUGUAGUUAAUAGCUGCAUUAUUUGACGUUAGCGACAGAAGAAGCACCGGCUAACUCCGUGCCAGCAGCCGCGGUAAUACGGAGGGUGCGAGCGUUAAUCGGAAUUACUGGGCGUAAAGCGCAUGCAGGUGGUUUGUUAAGUCAGAUGUGAAAGCCCGGGGCUCAACCUCGGAAUUGCAUUUGAAACUGGCAGACUAGAGUACUGUAGAGGGGGGUAGGAAUUUCAGGUGUAGCGGUGAAAUGCGUAGAGAUCUGAAGGAAUACCGGUGGCGAAGGCGGCCCCCUCGGACAGAUACUGACACUCAGAUGCGAAAGCGUGGGGAGCAAACAGGAUUAGAUACCCUGGUAG